GCCAGCCCGCUCAGAAAACUUAAAGGAAUUGACGGGGGCCCGCACAAGCGGUGGAGCAUGUGGUUUAAUUCGAUGAUACGCGAGGAACCUUACCUGGGCUCAAAUGUAUGUUGACGUAUUCUGAAAGGGAUACUUCUUCGGACAAUAUACAAGGUGCUGCAUGGUUGUCGUCAGCUCGUGCCGUGAGGUGUCGGGUUAAGUCCCAUAACGAGCGCAACCCCUAUCAUUAGUUGCCAUCAGGUCAAGCUGGGGACUCUAAUGAAACUGCCUACGCAAGUAGUGAGGAAGGUGGGGAUGACGUCAAAUCAGCACGGCCCUUACGUCCUGGGCUACACACGUGCUACAAUGGCCGGUACAGAGCGCAGCGAGGCCGCGAGGCGGAGCGAAUCGCUUAAAGCCGGUCCCAGUACGGAUUGGAGUCUGCAACCCGACUCCAUGAAGUUGGAAUCGCUAGUAAUCGCGCAUCAGCAUGGCGCGGUGAAUACGUUCCCGGGCCUU
rnacentral:rRNA from 1 species